rnacentral:misc_RNA from 1 species
GUGCUCAGCCUUGGGCUUAGGCUUGAAGAAGUCGCCGACACGCGCCGACAGACGGCGGCCAACCCUGGCCUUCUUCUCAUCCUUCUUCUCAUCCUUCUUCUCUUCCUUGGGAGCCUCGGUCUCCGCAGGGGUCUCAGCCGGCGCCUCAGCGCUAGGCGCCUCGGCAGGAGCGGAUGUCUCCGCCUCUUUCACGGGCUCAGCGGGCGCCUCCUCAACCUUGGGAGCCUCAGCAGU